UUAAUGCUAAUCGUGAUAGGGGUUUUUGCCUCCAACUGACUCCUACAUAUUAGCAUUAACA
rnacentral:pre_miRNA from 2 species